GACGAACGCUGGCGGCGUGCCUAAUACAUGCAAGUAGAACGCUGAAGGAGGAGCUUGCUUCUCUGGAUGAGUUGCGAACGGGUGAGUAACGCGUAGGUAACCUGCCUGGUAGCGGGGGAUAACUAUUGGAAACGCUAGCUAAUACCGCAUAAUAGUAGAUGUUGCAUGACAUUUGCUUAAAAGGUGCAAUUGCAUCACUACCAGAUGGACCUGCGUUGUAUUAGCUAGUUGGUGGGGUAACGGCUCACCAAGGCGACGAUACAUAGCCGACCUGAGAGGGUGAUCGGCCACACUGGGACUGAGACACGGCCCAGACUCCUACGGGAGGCAGCAGUAGGGAAUCUUCGGCAAUGGACGGAAGUCUGACCGAGCAACGCCGCGUGAGUGAAGAAGGUUUUCGGAUCGUAAAGCUCUGUUGUAAGAGAAGAACGAGUGUGAGAGUGGAAAGUUCACACUGUGACGGUAUCUUACCAGAAAGGGACGGCUAACUACGUG
rnacentral:rRNA from 1 species